CCUAUGAAAGUAGCAUAUGUACUCAAUCAAAACCAAUCAGUUACAGAGGAACUGCUGAGUGAGAUGAAAAAAGUUCGAGAUUUUUACCGAGGGACUGAUGACUGGAUAAGCUUCAAUCAUUCCUGGCAAUCAUCAAGCAAAUAUAUAGACAAACUCAAGGAAUCAUUGAGCAGAAAACUACCUGCUGAUCAAAUGGAUAGUAGAACACUGCUGGAUUUUGUAGAACACCUAGUUCUGAACAAUUAAUGGUUAACUUGGAAUAAGUUAUAAACCAAAAGAUAUUUUUCACAAAGAAAUGUACAUAAUCUUGGAAUUGGACUGUGGUGGAUUGACUACAUAUGAAAAAAGGCAUUAAAUUUAACAUGUACAAAGAAACUGUUCUAAGUGAUGAAAUUAUGAUUUUUUUUUUAAAUUUGUUGAACAAAAGGUUUGGUUCUGAUAUUUUCGUGGAUAGAGACAGAAAUCGUAUUUUCAUGAUGACUUUAUUUUCUAGUUUUAUUAUUUUACAAGUUUUAUGACUUUUUCACCAAAAUCUUACAACUGAAAUUGAUAGAAAGUUAUAAUGAAAUGUGAAGGACUUGCAUUUAUUUUUACCAUGAAGAUUUUUGAUAAAAAGUGCUGCGUGCACUUAAAGAUUUAUAGAUGGGCAUUUAAGGAAAAUUGGUUGUAAGCACAAAGCAACAAUGUAUUUUAUUGAUUGACAUGUCUCUAAGAUUUUAUUUUCUGAUUUAACUUUGUACAAAUAUCAUUAGUGGGUAUAGAAAGCUGCUUUAACUAGCCAGUGGCAAUAAUAGCAAAUGGGAAGGCAAUAAUACUAUAACUCAGUAAUAAAAUUAAGUCAGCAAUAAUUAUAGUGAUAAAAAGUAUGCUGCUCUGCUUUGUAGAUUUUUUUAGAAUGUGACAAUAAAAAUUGUUAUAAGAAAACAUGAAAUUACCAAUUUUGUUUGAAAAAAAACGUGUCUAAGGAUUAAGGAUUACAAAAAUGGUAUAGGGUAAGUUAGGUUUUAGACAUUUAAUUGUGAAAAUAGUCUAUGAAAUCUGAAAUAUAUCAUAUAAUAUAAUUUAUUUUUAUCUAUGUGUAAACUUGUGACAAUGCUUUAAAAUAGUAUAUUAUGAUUAAGGAAAGGGCAUUAGUCAAUUGUUUUUUUUGGGUAAAGUUUCGAAAUAUUUGCUGAGAAAUCAGCCACUUUUAAACUUCUGUAAUGCAGUUUUCUUAUAAAAUGUUAAGUAGGCUUAAGAUCUUACAUAUGCUAUCCCAGUAGGGUUUUGGGUCAAACAUAGGCUAGAGGCAAUAUUGGCCCAUAUUAGGCUUGUGACCAAUUCUAUGCCAAUUGCAAGCUUGAGGUCCAUCAU